UACGUAGGGUGCAAGCGUUGUCCGGAAUUAUUGGGCGUAAAGAGCUCGUAGGCGGUCUGUUACGUCUGCUGUGAAAACCCAGGGCUUAACCCUGGGCUUGCAGUGGAUACGGGCAGACUAGAGGCAGGUAGGGGAGAAUGGAAUUCCCGGUGUAGCGGUGAAAUGCGCAGAUAUCGGGAAGAACACCCGUGGCGAAGGCGGUUCUCUGGGACGGUACUGACGCUGAGACGCGAAAGCGUGGGGAGCGAACAGG
rnacentral:rRNA from 1 species